UACAGAGGUCCCAAGCGUUGUUCGGAUUCACUGGGCGUAAAGGGUGCGCAGGUGGGUUUGCAAGUCGGAUGUGAAAUCCCCAGGCUUAACCUGGGAACUGCAUUCGAGACUGCAUUGCUAGAGUAUGGGAGAGGGAAGUGGAAUUUCCGGUGUAGCGGUGAAAUGCGUAGAUAUCGGAAGGAACAUCAGUGGCGAAAGCGACUUCCUGGACCAAUACUGACGCUCAUGUGCGAAAGCGUGGGGAGCAAACAGG
rnacentral:rRNA from 1 species